GGACCCGCACAAGCGGUGGAGCAUGUGGUUUAAUUCGAAGCAACGCGAAGAACCUUACCAAAUCUUGACAUCCCUCUGACCGACGCUUAAUGGCGUCUUCUCUUCGGAGCAGAGGUGACAGGUGGUGCAUGGUUGUCGUCAGCUCGUGUCGUGAGAUGUUGGGUUAAGUCCCGCAACGAGCGCAACCCUUAUUUUUAGUAGCCAGCAGUUCGGCUGGGCACUCUAGAGAGACUGCCGGGGAUAACCCGGAGGAAGGUGGGGAUGACGUCAAAUCAUCAUGCCCCUUAUGAUUUGGGCUACACACGUGCUACAAUGGCGUAAACAAAGGGACGCGACCCUGUGAAGGUGAGCAAAUCUCAAAAAUAACGUCUCAGUUCGGAUUGUAGUCUGCAACUCGACUACAUGAAGCUGGAAUCGCUAGUAAUCGCGAAUCAGAAUGUCGCGGUGAAUACGUUCCCGGGUCUU
rnacentral:rRNA from 1 species